GACGAACGCUGGCGGCGUGCUUAACACAUGCAAGUCGUACGGUAAGGCCCUUUCGGGGGUACACGAGUGGCGAACGGGUGAGUAACACGUGAGUAACCUGCCCACAACUUUGGGAUAACGCUAGGAAACUGGUGCUAAUACUGGAUAUGUGCCCCUGCUGCAUGGUGGGGGUUGGAAAGCUCCGGCGGUUGUGGAUGGACUCGCGGCCUAUCAGCUUGUUGGUGGGGUAGUGGCCUACCAAGGCGGCGACGGGUAGCCGGCCUGAGAGGGUGACCGGCCACAUUGGGACUGAGAUACGGCCCAGACUCCUACGGGAGGCAGCAGUGGGGAAUAUUGCACAAUGGGCGCAAGCCUGAUGCAGCAACGCCGCGUGCGGGAUGACGGCCUUCGGGUUGUAAACCGCUUUCAGCAGGGACGAAGCUUUUUGUGACGGUACCUGCAGAAGAAGCACCGGCUAACUACG
rnacentral:rRNA from 1 species